rnacentral:tRNA from 1 species
GGGUGAUUAACUCAGUUGGCUAGAGUGCUUGCUUUACACGCAAGAUGUCGGGAGUUCGAGUCUCUCAUCACCCACCA